AAAGUGCGAUAACUAGUGUGAAUUGCAUAUUCAGUGAAUCAUCGAGUCUUUGAACGCAUCUUGCGCUCAAUGGUAUUCCAUUGAGCACGCCUGUUUCAGUAUCAACAACAACCCACAUCCACAAUUUUGUUGUGAAUGGAAGUGAGAGUAUCGACGUUAAAAUUGAACUCUUUAAAACUAUUAGGCCUGAACUAUUGUUCUAUUAGCCUGAACAUUUUUUUAAUAUAAAGGAAUGCUCUAGUUAAAAGACUAUCUUGGGGGCCUCCCAAAUAAAUCAUUUUUUUAAAACUUGAUCUGAAAUCAGGUGGGAUUACCCGCUGAACUUAAGC
rnacentral:misc_RNA from 1 species